rnacentral:lncRNA from 1 species
AUUCGGCUUCUUUUUUGUUAUAUCCACUAGUUUGUUGUAUUUUAUAGAUUCCGCAUAUAAGUGGAAUAUCAUACAGUGUUUGUCUUUGACUUUUUUCAUUUAACAUAAUGCCCUCCAAGUCCAUCCAUACUGCUGCAAAUGGCAAGAUUUUGUUCUUUUUUAUGGCUGAAUAGUAUUCCAUUGUAUAUAGAUAGCAUUUUCUUUACAUUUUUAUAUUGAGGUAAAACUCAUAUACAAUAAGCUGCGUGAACACGAAGUGUGUUACGUGUAACAUUGGUGACUAUUUUACCAAGUUCUUACUCCACCCUGAUCAAGGCACAGAACAUUCCCAACACCCGCAGAACGCUCUCCUGUGCUCCCUUCCAGUCAACACAGCCCUCUUCAAAGACAGCCACUCUUCAGACUUCUCAGACCACCGGUGACUGGAUCAGAGUGAUGCCAGGCCCUCUGCAGCCAUUUUGUGUCCAUGAGAAGAGCUAGUCCAGAGACAAAGUGGACAUUCAGAGAAGGACACAAAGGAGCAAAUCCCAAUCCCUAGAGGCAUUCCAUCAGUUCACCCACCCCCUGGGCUUUGCACAAGAUGGAGAUCUGAGGUCUGGGCCUGAAACCACAUGCUUCAACCAUCUGACAGCAUUUACUCCUGCACCAGGUUCCAGAUUCUGGAGAAAAGGGCUCAGAAAAGUCCUCCAUAAGGUCCCUCCUCCGAUAAGACUUCUUCCUGCAGAAUCACAUCUCCAUUAAGAGCAUGCCAGGCAAAUGCUACCAACGAAUGGGAACCAGCACACUAGGUUAAACACAUUAUACAGGGGAUGACCCAUGAUGUAAAGCUGAGUGGAAGGAAGCCCAAUAGUAAGUACAGCACAAAAUAGUUCUUAAAAGGAGAAACUAAGCAUGCUGGUGCAAAUGAUAAAUGUAGGAAAGUGACAUCUCCUAGGGGUGUGGUGUGUGUGUGUGUGUGUGUGUGGUUGGGAUUGCAAUGUUCCUUUUCUCUUUUGUGUUGCCUCUGCACUGAGUGGCUACUCAUUUGAUGCAUAUGCUCAUUGAGCAUCUAUUAUGUGCCAGUCCUCUAUUAGGGAUGCAAGGAUGAUCAAGAUUAAUG